rnacentral:rRNA from 1 species
CCCUUAGAUGUUCUGGGCUGCACACGCGCUACACUGGCAGGUUCAGCGAGCUUCUUGCCCUGAUCUGAGAAGAAUGGGAAACCUUUUCAACACCUGCCGUGCUUGGGUCCGGAUAGAUGUUUGCAAUUAUUCAUCUUCAACAAGGAUUGCCUUGUAGGCGUGCCUCAUCAGUGCACAUCGAAUACGACCCUGUAUUCUGUACACACCGCCCGUCGCUCCUACCCAUUGAAGUUUUCGGUGAAUUUGCAGGAGGUUUGCUUUGAAACUGGUUCGCCAGUGGAUUUGUGGACCAAAUGCAUGUGAAUCGAUGGCUUUAGAGGAAGGAGAAGUCGUAACA